rnacentral:rRNA from 1 species
GACGAACCAUGCAAACGUUUAUUCGGAAUUACUGGGCUUAAAGCGCGCGUGAGGCGGACCUGCAAGUCGGGGGUGAAAGCCCGAGGCUCAACCUCGGAACUGCCUUCGAUACUGCGGGUCUCGAGUCCGGGAGAGGUGAGUGGAAUUCCUAGUGUAGAGGUGAAAUUCGUAGAUAUUAGGAAGAACACCAGUGGCGAAGGCGGCUCACUGGCCCGGUACUGACGCUGAGGCGCGAAAGCGUGGGGAGCAAACAGGGAU